UGCUUUUGUAGUCGGAACUACUAUCCAGACGAUAAACAACAGCCGAACAUCGGACGAUGCUUGAUCUAGCCGUUGGCCUCCACUUUCUCCAACGCAUGCAUGGCUGGAUCAGUGCAAUCGUGCACAAAUCGGCUGCACAACAUCGUGUGUAUAGCAACACUCGAUGCGCCACUUCCUAACCAUACGAUCCCGUUCAUCUCACAGGUAAAAGCAAAAAAAAAGAAAAAAGAUAGAGCCCAGCAUAACCGCUCAUCCUCAUCUGCUCUCGCCGGCCUCCCCGCGCGGCUGCGCAACAAGCGCUCGCUGGCCGUCCGUGACCUGCGCUUGCCGUCUGUUCCUCAUGCCGGUGAGCCGCAACAAGUCGCCCCCGUCGUCGCGCGAGGUCGCCGCCGUCAUGCCCGAGGUCGCCAUUGCAGCUCCCAACCGCCCGUGGUUGCACGGGGGAACACCAUCGCAUCUCCACCACCAGCCAUCGUUGUAGCUCCGCCAGCACCGCCGUCUCCCGUCCCAGCAAAAUCAUGGUCACGGCUAGCCAUCCCGCCAUCGCUUCUUGUAGCUCCCGCCGUUGACAGUUGUAGCAUCUGUCAAAGAAGGUUGUAGCAUCGGCGGUGGCCGCUUCCAGCAAAGGACGCUAGGGGUUGUAGCUUCAUGCCUAGACGGUUGUAGCAUCCUCGUCUGCCGCUCGCAGCUCCUCGCACUGCCGGUUCCAGCAUCGCCGGCAGCCGGUUGUAGCAUCCUCGUCGGCCCACUCGCAGCUCCUCACACUGACGGUUCCAGCAUCACCGAGAGCCGGUUAUAGCAAAAAGCGACUUUGGUUGUAGCAAAAAGGCGAUGUGGUGGUAGCAAAAAUGCAAUUUUGGUGGUCGUGGUUGUAGCCGCCGCCGACCACAAAUGCCGACAGUAGCAAAAUUCUUCACCGGUCGUAGCAAAAUCCGGCGAUGGAUGCAGCAAAACUUCGUCACGCGCCGUUCCUAUUGCAGCUUCACCAUGAAAUCAUUGUAGCAAAAAUUCUCGCCUGUCGUAGCAAAAUCUGACGAUGGAUGUAGCAAAAAAAUCGUCACCGCCGUUCGUGGUUGCAGCCUCGCCAUGAAAAUCCUUGUAGCAAAAUUUUUGUCAGUAGUAGAAAAAACAGACGACAGUUGUAGCAAAAAAUCAUCACGACACGCACCCACUCUCCGCCGCCCCUGCCGGUUGAAACAUCCCCGGCCGGCUGCUCCCCAACCGCGGGCCUUCGUCGUCUUCCUUGCAGUAACGCCGCCUCCCCCAUUGCAAUCGUGGGCAGGGAAGGGGGUUAGCUACAGAGCUCCCACGCCUGGCUCAGGCUCGCGGCGUCUCCCGUCCAGAGCAGCAGCAGAUUGUCACACCGUCGGAGACAGGGACGAGCUCGCCAUGCGGUGUUGAGAGAUUUAAUGGCGGAGAAAAGAAAAGGGAGAUAGAAAGAGGAGAAAUGGAUGCGCCGUGUAUAGCAAAGAGAUGAGGAAUGGGCAUGCCCUCCGGGACCCACCUAGGCACGUGCCCAGUUUUUUG
rnacentral:lncRNA from 1 species